GGGGUUGUGGUUCAGUGGUAGAGCGCUUGCCUUCCACAUGUAAGGCGCUGGGUUCGAUCCCCAGCACCA
rnacentral:tRNA from 1 species